rnacentral:sRNA from 2 species
AUCCACAACGCGAAACUUAUACUUUUGCGCUCGUUGCGGAAGUUUUUUUCUUCUGUAACGGGCGCAAAUUCAUAAAGUCGUUACCUUUCUUUAUCCCAAAUUACGCGAUACACUGUUCGGCGUUUACCAUUAAUCAUGGACGUACGAAUGCACGACAAUGGUUACGUCAGGCUUACAGCCCUCCGCCGGGAUGCGAUGCCUUUUUCCCCAACGCUUCGCAUUGGGCUGAAUUAUCUCGCCCUUUCAGGGCUCUUUCUGCAAUCAGCAGUCAGCAUUCAGCAAUCAGCAGAGCCAACAAAUCAACAUCUCAACAAUUCAACAACUCACCGCCUCUGCGGGGUUUACGAGGGCUGAAAGCCCGAAUUAUUUCAGCCCCAUCCCGCAAGGGUGGGGUAUAUCGACAUCCGGACCUUGUUCGGAGGGCUGAAAGCCUGAAUUAAAUUCAUUCUUAUUUCUUCUAUUGCGGAAUCUGGGUUUAU